UGAGCAAUCUGCCCUUCACAUCGGAAUAACCAUUGGAAACGAUGGCUAAUACCGAAUAUGACUUCGGAUCGCAUGAUCUGAAGUGGAAAGCUCCGGCGGUGAAGGAUGAGCUCGCGGCCUGUCAGCUUGUUGGUGAGGUAAUAGCUCACCAAGGCGAUGACGGGUAGCCGGCUGAGAGGGUGACCGGCCACGACUGGGACUGAGACACGGCACGACCCG
rnacentral:rRNA from 1 species